UAUCAAGUUGUGUUUCGAUUAGAUCCGG
rnacentral:sRNA from 1 species